rnacentral:tRNA from 1 species
GGCGAUGUGGCGGAACUGGCAGACGCGCGCGACUCAAAAUCGCGUUUCUUCGGAAGUGUGGGUUCGAUUCCCACCAUCGCCACCA